GACGAACGCUGGCGGCGUGCCUAAUACAUGCAAGUCGAACGCAGUGGGGACGGGUGAGUAACACGUGGGUAACCUCCCAUCAGAGGGGAUAACACUUGGAUACAGGUGCUAAACCGAGACUGGUGGAUGGACCCGCGGUGCAUUAGCUAGUUGGCGAGGUAACGGCUCACCAAGGCCACGACGCAUAGCCGAGCGUGGAGGGUGACCGGCCACACGGGAACGGGGACACGGCCCAGACUCCUACGGGAGGCAGCAGUAGGGAAUCUUGGGCAAUGGACGAAAGUCUGACCGAGCAACGCCGCGUGAGUGAAGAAGGUUUUCGGAUCGUAAAACUCUGUUGUUAGAGAAGCGGUAUCUAACCAGAAAGCCACGGCUAACUACGUGCCAGCCGCCGCGGUAAUAC
rnacentral:rRNA from 1 species